ACAGUUAAAACAAAAAGGACAAAGAAAAUAAAUACUAAUAUUCUAAAAAGCUCUUCCACAAAGGAUUUAGAUAGUAGUCUAAACUGAAUAGUCAAUGAAUGUUAACAAACUAAGAUUUAUUGAAUUAUAUUUAAGAUUGUGUUGUAUCUUUAUUUAAUUUGAUUGUACUAUAGGUUUUAACAGGUAUGUAAAUAUUAAAACAAGAUAUGCAUUGUGAAAUUGAGUAGGCUAAUGGAUUGAUCAUUUUGCCCUACCAAAUUAUUUCAUAUUAUGUUUGCCCUCAUCUCAGCAGAAACACACACAUACAUCCUACCUAUACACAGACACACUUGAUGUGUUUCAUAAAAGCCUUGAGUCAGAGCAUGCAGAACAAAUAAAAAUCCCUGUUUUUUUCUUAAAUCCUGGGGACACUGUAAAAUUUAUUAAACUUCAUUAUACUUCAAUAUGUUGUUUGUUGCAGAUUCUUCAAGAUUUGAAGGAAAAGGUGAUGAACAUUUAUUAAAUCAGUUCACUGAGCACUGAGCAAUGGCUUAAGGGAAGGUGAACUUGACCUGAAAGACAGUUUUAAAAUUAUGACCAAUUUGUUUUCUGUCUCAACCCAUCUUUGUACUAUCACGUGAUAUGACAUUAUGCAAUAUGAAGAAUUAUUAAAAAUAGCUUUAAUAUUAAGGAAUUUUCUAUCUCAGCACAUAAUGCAAGAAAAAAUAUAAUUUAGCACAUACCUAUGUCCUUUGUAUUAAAAAAUUGCAGUUACUACCUAUGUAUAUGAUGUGAUACAAAAAUCAACUCAUGUGCAUAGUGUGACUGAAAACAUUCAAUGUGUGAGAUUCAGUCAUCAGCUGCCAUCUUGUAUAUAAACUUAAUCUGUCUAGUGGUUAGCCUUUAUUUUCAGACCCUGAAGUUACAUCAGAGACACUAUCUUCUGCCAAAAAGAUUGUAUAUCCUGGCUUCCCUUCUUGUUAGAUAUGGUCAUGUGAUUGAAUUCUUUUCAACUAAGGUGAAUAUACAUCUGUGAGUACUACUAAUGAAGGUCAAGGCACUUGCAGAACUCUUGCAACUAAAUGACUGGAAAAAAUUAUUAAUUCAGGUCAAAGAAGAGAAACAAAUUAUUCAAAUGAAGGAAAAAGAACAAACUUUAUUACAGGCCCAAGCAGGCUAAGCAGAACUUCCGCCGUGGAAAUUAAGACACAGCUGACUGGAGAAGAUGAUGUGUAUGAUGUGUACCCAGCUCUAAGAAGACCCUUACCUUAGGAACUAGUAAAGAGACAACAGAAUUUAUCCCUGCUACAACCAUUACUUCUGCCACAAAUCUAGCUCUCCAGUUCUCACCAUCAAACUUCAUGGAAACAUAACUGUUGGGGAAGAAAAGGAGUCAAAACUGAGAGUCACUGACACCAUUAUUGUAAACAGGGGAAUGAACUUGGAAAGGCUACUCCCAUGCACACAGCUUCAGUGAUAGGAAAAUUCAUGAAGUGCACCUAAGAUUUCAUCCAGCAGCAGAGGAAAUCCAGUACCCAUUGGUUAUGUUUUAAAAGCUAUUUCUUAAAAAGAAGACAGAAGAUAGAAUUUUAUCAGAUUCAGAGAGCUGUGAUUCCACUCAGUCAAUGAAUCCUGAUACUGAAGGAGGCACAGAAAUGAUGGGAAAACUGAAAUCAACUGUCAGGAAGAUCUUUUCUUGGGCCGCUCCCGCAGCAUAUGGGAGGUUCCUAGGCUAGGGGUCUAAUCAGAGCUGUAGCUGCCAGCCUACACCAGAGCCACUGCAACGCGGGAUCCCAGCCACAUCUGUGACGUACACCACAGCUCAUGGCAACGCCAGAUCCUUAACCCACUGAGCAAGGGCAGGGAUCGAACCCGCAACCUCAUGGUUCCUAGUCGGAUUUGUUAACCACUGCGCCACGAUGGGAACUCCCUCACUUUCUACUUUGGAUCUCACUUCCUUCACUAUAUAUUUCUUUUGAGAAAAUGGGAGGGGUUAUGCACCGCUCUCCAUAAGCAACAUUUUCCAGGUAUCUGCCUGAAGAUAUUGCCAGUGGAGAUUUUCUUAAGAAAUUCCCACAAUUAAAUACACUAGGAGAGAAAACCUAAAGCAUCCCCUUUCACACUUCAUAUGCACCCAUUGUUUCUAGACAAGUAAGAAUUAUGGUAUAAAAUAUUUCACCUACACCACCCCAUACCCCCCCACUCCAAGCAGAAGUUAUGACAGAAAAGUGGCACAGGUAAGGGAUUGGAAAGAGUAUAAAGCCCCAUUUGGUCUUGGAGACAUGGUAAAGGAGGCAAAAAGAAAUACAAGGUGAGAUUAUAACAGGAAACUGAAGUGAAAAAAUGCAGUCCUGACCAUGAUGAAAGAUCAAAGGUAUCUUCUGAGAAAACACAGGAUUCAUACUAUAUAUGAGCUGAAUUGAAUACAGAUCUCUCAUUGAAAAUCACAACCUCAGAACAUUCUAUGGACAGAUAUCAGUAAGUGUAGUGAUUAAUUUGCAAUUUAUUUCUAAAUGCUUAUUUGAAAGGAAGGAUUUUAAACUGAUGUUUUACAUUAGAAUAACAAAAUAGAAGAACAUAGUAACUAUUGGAAAUGUGAUAUUCACCCAUUAUUACCUCUUCCAUACAUUGUCUAUUUGGAAUCCUCCUAUUUUAAUCUAACAGAUUCAUUAGCUUUUUUUUUUUUAAACUUAUGCAGUUAUAAGUUGUGUAUCAAUUUUAAAUUGUAUUUUUUUGGCUCAGUUUUAAAAAAAGUGAAAAUAGAAGCAGAGUAAAAGAAUUCU
rnacentral:lncRNA from 1 species